AAGGAUUUAAAGGUCGAACAGACCUAAAAAUUGAACUUCUACACCCAACUAUUACCUUAAUCCAACAUCGAGGUCGCAAUCUUUUUUGUUGAUAAGAACUCUUAAAAAACAUUACGCUGUUAUCCCUAAGGUAACUUAAUCUUUUAAUCAUCAUUAAUGGAUCAAUUAUUCAUAAAUUAAUGUAUAAUUUAUUAAAAGAGUUAUUUUAAUCUUCUUAUCACCCCAAUAAAAUAUUUCAAUAAUUAAAAAUUAUAAACAUCUAAAUAAAAUUUAAAAAUAUAAAUAUAAAGCUCUAUAGGGUCUUCUCGUCCUCUAAUAAUAUUUAAGCCUUUUGACUUAAAAGUUAAAUUUUAUAUUAUUAUUAUGAGACAGUUAAUAUUUCGUUAAACCAUUCAUACCACUCCUUAAUUAAAAGACUAAUGAUUAUGCUACCUUUGCACAGUCAAAAUACUGCGGCCCUUUAAAUAAUCAGUGGGCAGGUCAGACUUUAAAUUAUCAUCAAAAAGAC
rnacentral:rRNA from 1 species